rnacentral:rRNA from 1 species
UACGUAGGGUGCGAGCGUUAAUCGGAAUUACUGGGCGUAAAGCGUGCGCCGGCGGUGAGCUGUGUCCGAUGUGAAAGCCCCGGGCUUAACCUGGGAAUGGCAUUGGAAACUGGCUCGCUGGAGUGUGGCAGAGGGGGGUGGAAUUCCGCGUGUAGCAGUGAAAUGCGUAGAGAUGCGGAGGAACACCGAUGGCGAAGGCAGCCCCCUGGGCUAACACUGACGCUCAGGCACGAAAGCGUGGGGAGCAAACAGG